GGGGUUGACUGGAUUUGACAGCGGGCCGAAAUGGUGCGUAAGCAUGCAGAGCCUCGGUGGUUAGCUCUUUAAUCUUAGCGACCAAAAAAUUAAUUGGCGAAAACAAUUACGCUCUCGCUGCCUAAUCGAAGUACAGUAGAUUACUGGCUUUAUCGCGUCACAAGGUGAUGCGACGAGACACCGCUCCAAGGAUGUUGUUCCGAAUCUGAGGAUAAAGUGGUGCAGGUAAAUCGGAAAUAGUUUGGGUAGGCCUCGAUGUCCAAAUGAAAUUUUAGAGGAUAAGGCAUCGGUUGGUGGUCCAGGUCUUGCCGUUGCUCGAAAAACAAAGGCUGGAAUAAGCAUGUAGAAAGCGUAUGGUUUCCCUGUUUGGACGAGGGUUCGAAUCCCUCCAGCUCCAC
rnacentral:tmRNA from 1 species